UACGAAGGGGGCGAGCGUUGUUCGGAAUUACUGGGCGUAAAGGGCGCGCAGGCGGCUCUGAAAGUCAGAUGUGAAAGCCCCCGGGCUUAACCUGGGAACUGCAUUUGAUACUCUGGAGCUUGAGUACGGGAGAGGAUAGUGGAAUUCCCAGUGUAGCGGUGAAAUGCGUAGAUACUGGGAGGAACACCAGUGGCGAAGGCGGCUACCUGGACCGGUUCUGACGCUGAGGCGCGAAAGCGUGGGUAGCAAACAGG
rnacentral:rRNA from 1 species